rnacentral:rRNA from 1 species
UACAGAGGGUGCGAGCGUUAAUCGGAAUUACUGGGCGUAAAGCGAGUGUAGGUGGCUCAUUAAGUCACAUGUGAAAUCCCCGGGCUUAACCUGGGAACUGCAUGUGAUACUGGUGGUGCUAGAAUAUGUGAGAGGGAAGUAGAAUUCCAGGUGUAGCGGUGAAAUGCGUAGAGAUCUGGAGGAAUACCGAUGGCGAAGGCAGCUUCCUGGCAUAAUAUUGACACUGAGAUUCGAAAGCGUGGGUAGCAAACAGGAUUAGAUACCCGGUAGUCC